GCAAUACUGCAGGUGGCGAGUGGCGCACGGGUGCGUAACGCGUUACAACUACUAUAACUCGGGGAACAACCCGAGAAAUCGGGGCUAAUACCGAUAACAUCAUGAAGUGGCAUCACUUUAUGAUCAAACCUCAGGUGGUUAUAGAUGGGCAUGCGUGACAUUAGCUAGUUGGUCGAGGUAACGGUCACCAAGGCUACGAUGUCUAGGGGGGUCUUGAGAGGAUGAUCCCCCAAACUGGUACUGAGACACGGACCAGAUCCUACGGGAGGCAGCAGUCAAGGAACUAUUGGACCAAUGGGCGCAAGCCUGAUCCAGCAUGCCCGCGUGCAGGAUGANGGUGUAUGCAUCGUAAACUGCUUUAUACAAGAAUAAAUCCUUCACGUGUGCAAAGGGAUUCGGCACACUUGGUACCUGGUCACAGCGAAUUAAACGCCAUCCGGGCUUAAACUUUCCGGUGGCCAAGCCAAGCCCGGCGGGUCAAAUCACCGGAAAGGGAUUGGCCAAUCGCGGUUAUCCCCNGGAUUCAACUCUUCGGGGUCCACAAGGGGCUCGCCCUCAAACGGCGCGCGCUUAUACGCAAGNUUCCCANCAUGCGGGNUG
rnacentral:rRNA from 1 species